AAUAGAUACCCGGGUAGUCCAUGCCGUAAACGUUGGGAACUAGGUGUGGGUCUCAUUCCACGAGAUCCGUGCCGCAGCUAACGCAUUAAGUUCCCCGCCUGGGGAGUACGGCCGCAAGGCUAAAACUCAAAGGAAUUGACGGGGGCCCGCACAAGCGGCGGAGCAUGCGGAUUAAUUCGAUGCAACGCGAAGAACCUUACCAAGGCUUGACAUACACCGGAAUCACUCAGAGAUGGGUGCGUCUUCGGACUGGUGUACAGGUGGUGCAUGGUUGUCGUCAGCUCGUGUCGUGAGAUGUUGGGUUAAGUCCCGCAACGAGCGCAACCCUCGUUCUAUGUUGCCAGCACGUGAUGGUGGGGACUCAUAGGAGACUGCCGGGGUCAACUCGGAGGAAGGUGGGGAUGACGUCAAAUCAUCAUGCCCCUUAUGUCUUGGGCUUCACGCAUGCUACAAUGGCCGGUACAAAGGGCUGCGAAACCGCGAGGUGGAGCGAAUCCCAAAAAACCNGUCUCAGUUCGGAUUGGGGU
rnacentral:rRNA from 1 species